rnacentral:rRNA from 1 species
CGGGUGAGUAAUGCUUGGGAAUCUAGCUUAUGGAGGGGGAUAACUACGGGAAACUGUAGUUAAUACCGCGUAGAAUCGAGAGAUGAAAGUGUGGGACCUUCGGGCCACAUGCCAUAGGAUGAGCCCAAGUGGGAUUAGGUAGUUGGUGAGGUAAAGGCUCACCAAGCCGACGAUCUCUAGCUGGUCUGAGAGGAUGACCAGCCACACUGGGACUGAGACACGGCCCAG